rnacentral:rRNA from 1 species
GUGAGUGUUAAAUUAUACGCAGGGUAGUGAGAUUAAGAAACUUGAAUGUUAGAAAAUUGUAAGAGCAGAAAAAAAUUAGAUAAAAUUAGGGUGGUACCUUUAGUAUUAUGGUUUGUUUAAAUUUAUUAGAUAGUAAGUUCCCGAAUACCUAGGGUUUAUAUGAGUUAAAGAAUAUGUAGAAUAAAAUUAGGCUGGUAUAGUUCUGAAACGGAAUACGAUUUGGUUGAUAUCUGGUUGAAAAUAUACAGAAAAAUUGAGGGGUUGAGCUUUCAAUGAUUUUUUAUCAGUGAGAUUAGUUAAAUAAAAAGUGGGCUUAGAGUUAGUCUUCUGUGAAGUUAGUAAAAUUUUAUGUGGAUUAAAUAAUUAAUAUUUAGAUCAGAAAAUAUAUUUUAGUGGCAUUGAUGCUAAAUUAAAAUGAUGGAAUUAGUAGGGGUUGAAAUUAGUUAAUGAAAGAAAAGAUGAAAUAAUUAAACUUGUUUUUAGAUUAACUGUUUAUCAAAAACAUUUUCUUUAAAAUUAAAAGAUAGGGCCUGCCCACUGGAUUACUAAAGGGCCGCAGGAUUUAACUGUGCUAAGGUAGCAUAAUAAUUAGUUUUUUAAUUAGAAAAUAGAAUGAAUGGUUUAAUAAUUUAAGGUUUUGACGGAUUUAUAAAUUGAAUUUAAAGUAAAAGUGAAAAUGCUUUUUUAGGUCUGAGGGACGAUAAGACCCUAUAGAUCUUGGUAUAAAAAAUUUAGGUUGAGUAGAUGAAAUAUUAAAUUGAAUCAUACUUUACUGGGGUGGUAAAAGAAUAAGAAAAACUUCUUAGAGUAUAAAAUUUCUUGAAUUUUGGAGUAGAAAAAGAUACCUUAGGGAUAACAGCGUAAUUGAAUUGAAGAGAUCUUAUUGAUAAUUUAGAUUGCGACCUCGAUGUUGAAUUAAAGAGUUUUUAUUUGGCAGCAUGAAUAGAAAAUAGUCUGUUCGACUAUUAAAUUUUUACAUGAUUUGAGUUCAAACCGGCGUGAGCCAGGUUGGUUUCUAUCUUCAGAAAAGAUUAGAUAUUGUUAGUACGAAAGGAUUGCAGUUGAUUUUAAAAAGU